rnacentral:rRNA from 1 species
AGGAUCAACGCUGGCGGCGUGCCUAAUGCAUGCAAGUCGAACGGGGUGUCCUUUGGGGCGCUCACGUGGCGGACGGGUGAGGAACACGUGGCCAAUCUGCCCACUGGCAGGGGGUAGCCCGCGGAAACGCGGGGUAAUUCCGUAUGGGCUUGGGGACCGCGUGGGGUUGUCAAGCAAAGGCGUCUUCGGGCGUCGCCGGUGGAGGAGGCUGCGGCCGAUUAGCUAGUUGGGGGGUGAUGGCCUCCCAAGGCGAUGAUCGGUAGCUGGUCUGAGAGGACGAUCAGCCGCACUGGAACUGAGAUACGGUCCAGACUCCUACGGGAGGCAGCAGUGGGGAAUCUUGCACAAUGGGGCGAAAAGCCGUGAACGCGACGACGACCGACCGCCGGU